rnacentral:rRNA from 1 species
AUGAACGCUGGCGGCGUGCCUAAUACAUGCAAGUCGCGCGAACAGACGAGGAGCUUGCUCCUCUGACGUUAGCGGCGGACGGGUGAGUAACACGUGGAUAACCUACCUAUAAGACUGGGAUAACUUCGGGAAACCGGAGCUAAUACCGGAUAAUAUAUUUAACCGCAUGGUUCAAUAGUUAAAUACGGUUUUGCUGUCACUUAUAGAUGGAUCCGCGCCGCAUUAGCUAGUUGGUAAGGUAACGGCUUACCAAGGCAACGAUGCGUAGACGACCUGAGAGGGGGAUCGGCCACACUGGAACUGAGACACGGACCAGACGACUACGGGAGGCAGCAGUAGGGAAUCGUCCGCAAUGGGCGAAAGCCUGACGGAGCAACGCCGCGUGAGAGAUGAAGGUCUUCGGAUCGUAAAACUCUGUUAUUAGGGAAGAACAAAUGUGUAAGUAACUAUGCACGUCUUGACGGUACCUAAUCAGAAAGCCACGGCUAACUACGUG